rnacentral:rRNA from 1 species
AGAGUUUGAUCCUGGCUCAGAACGAACGCUGGCGGCGUGCCUAACACAUGCAAGUCGAGCGAGAAAGGGGAGCAAUCCCUGAGUAAAGCGGCGAACGGGUGAGUAACACGUAGGUUACCUGCCUUUCAGCUUGGGACAACCUGUCGAAAGACGGGCUAAUACCAGAUAAGACCACGACUCUUUCGGGAGCAGUGGUAAAAGAUGGCCUCUUCGUGAACGCUAUCACUGAAAGAUGGGCCUGCGCACCAUUAGCUAGUUGGUAGGGUAAUGGCCUACCAAGGCUACGAUGGUUAGCUGAUCUGAGAGGAUGAUCAGCCACACUGGAACUGAAACACGGUCCAGACUCCUACGGGAGGCAGCAGUGGGGAAUAUUGCGCAAUGGGGGAAACCCUGACGCAGCAACGCCGCGUGAGUGACGAAGGCCUUCGGGUCGUAAAGCUCUGUCGGAGGGGAAGAAACUAUUCAUGGCUAAUAUCCAUGGAUAUGACGGUACCCUCAAAGAGCCCCG